rnacentral:rRNA from 1 species
AAUAUUGGACAAUGGGCGAAAGCCUGAUCCAGCCAUGCCGCGUGUGUGAAGAAGGUCUNCGGCUUNUNAAGCACUUUAAGUUGGGNGGAAGGGCAGUAAGUUAAUACCUUUCUGUUUUGACGUUACUGACGGAAUAAGCACCGGCUAACUUCGCCCCAGCAGCCGCGGUAAUACGAAGGGUGCAAGCGUUAAUCGGAAUUACUGGGAGUAACGCGCGGGGAGGUGGUUUGUUAAGUAGGAGGUAGAAGCCCCGGGCUCAACCUGGGAACAGCUUGCAAAAGUGACAAGCUAGAGUAUGGCAGAGGGUGGUGGAAUUUCCUGUGUAGCGGUGAAAUGCGUAGUUAUAGGAAGGAACAGCAGUGGCGAAGGCGACCACCUGAGAUAAUACUGACACUAAGGUGCGAAAGCGUGGGGAGCAAAC